rnacentral:rRNA from 1 species
CCUACGGGAGGCUGCAGUGGGGAAUAUUGCACAAUGGGCGCAAGCCUGAUGCAGCCAUGCCGCGUGUGUGAAGAAGGCCUUCGGGUUGUAAAGCACUUUCAGCGGGGAGGAAGGCGGUGAGGUUAAUAACCUCAUCGAUUGACGUUACCCGCAGAAGAAGCACCGGCUAACUCCGUGCCAGCAGCCGCGGUAAUACGGAGGGUGCAAGCGUUAAUCGGAAUUACUGGGCGUAAAGCGCACGCAGGCGGUCUGUCAAGUCGGAUGUGAAAUCCCCGGGCUCAACCUGGGAACUGCAUUCGAAACUGGCAGGCUAGAGUCUUGUAGAGGGGGGUAGAAUUCCAGGUGGAGCGGUGAAAUGCGUAGAGAUCUGGAGGAAUACCGGUGGCGAAGGCGGCCCCCUGGACAAAGACUGACGCUCAGGUGCGAAAGCGUGGGGAGCAAACAGGAUUAGAUACCCUUGUAGUC